rnacentral:rRNA from 1 species
AGACAGAGGGGGCUAGCGUUGUUCGGAAUUACUGGGCGUAAAGGGCGCGUAGGCGGCCUUGUAAGUCAGAAGUGAAAGCCUGGGGCUCAACCUCGGAAGAGCAUCCGAAACUGCUUGGCUCGAGUCCUGGAGAGGAAGGUGGAAUGCUUGGUGUAGAGGUGAAAUUCGUAGAUAUCAAGCGGAACACCGGUGGCGAAGGCGGCCUUCUGGACAGUGACUGACGCUGAGACGCGAAAGCGUGGGGAGC